GGGCACGUAGCUCAGCGGAUAGAGCGUUCGCCUCCGGAGCGAAAGGUCGUGGGUUCGAUCCCCGCCGUGCCCG
rnacentral:tRNA from 1 species